AAUUAGAUCAAAAAUUACAAGCGACUGAGAUUGAAGCCAAUGAAGAAGAAAUAGAAACUACGCAAAUAGAUGAAGAGGUAGCCACAUCUACAAUUGGAGACCGAAUUAACCCGACUCAAAAACCACUGCCACAUUAUUCUGCAAGAAGCAAUAACACUAUUAAACAAAUAGAAAAGGUAACCGCUAACAAUCAAAAUUCGACAAUAUUAAGAAAACAGAAUUCCUUGAUGCCACAACCAACGACAAGAAAAACUUCAAUGAAAAUCAAAGACAAUCCUCUUAGAAAGAAUUUGAAAGUUAACACACAGAAAGGAACAAACAAUGCGCCAUCAGUAGUAUCUAAUAGUAGUAACCAAGUCAAAACAAAUGCGAAAUCGAUAACUAGAACUGGUAAAAGUAUAGAAAGAGAAACAUCUUUGAAAAAUGUAAUUGUUCAACCCAAAAUUGAAAAAGAUACUGAACUACCAAUAACUAUUUUAGGAAGAGUUAUAUCUUCCACCGAAAAAACUUUUACUACAGAAAACACAGCCUUAGAAAAUGUAAUUGAUGACAACGAGUUAAUUGUAGUCAAAACUCAUGACAGCGAAAAUAAAUUAACUUUCUCCGAAACAGAUAAGAUUGGUUCAAUUCACACAAGACAAACAAGGCUGUCUUCUAUGGUGCCGAUAUUAAUGCCAAUCGAUGAAAGUUCAGGUUCUGGAAUUAACAAAGACGAACCUCCUGUAACUGUUAUUAAUAAUUUAAUGGAAAAUGUCUAUAAGCCUGAAUCGGUCGUAAAACAUGACAUUAAAUCUAAAAGUAUUACCAAACUGCAAAUAGAUGAGAGUUCCCAAGAGCGUCAAAGCGAAACAGUUAAAUUAUUUAAGAAAACCCCCAUCGACAGCUAUGUUGCUAUGGUUGACCACGGAGAUAUUAUUAAUUUUAGCUUGAAAAUAGAAGUGAGAAAAGGUGAUAGUGCUAUAAAACUACAUGAUCCUAAAACAAUGCAUUGUAUAACAGAAAAAGCUUUACAAGUUAAUGCAUACCAAGAAAUAGAUGAAACAAUUGUAAAAUCUUCAAGUUGUACAAAAAAGCCUAUAAUUGAUGAAGACAAUCAAAAAAUUGUAGUCAUUCAAUGUUCUUGUUUUGAAAAUCAUAAUAUUAGCGAUUUAUUACAUAAAAUUGAUACAGGAACCGUAAAUUUGAAUGAUAAAAAAUAUGUAAUGCUCUUACCUGAUCCUGAAAGUAACAAAAGUGUUGAAAGACAACAUCGGACCCGAGAGGAAAGUAAAAUAGUAGUGGAUAAAUAUAUGAGGGACCAGAGAUCCAGUGUCGAUCACCCUGUGAAAAAAGUAUACGCAACAACUUCCAUACAGCGGCUUACAGCUUCUAAAACAACUCAGGACGAUGGAGUUAUAAUAUCGAAUGUAGACGCUCGUGUUGUUAACGAACAAGAUAAACCUGAAGUUUCGGAAGUUAAUCGCAAACUGUCCAGUAUACAGAAGAUUUAUCAAGCAGACUCUGUGAUUAUAACGAAAAACAAACUAGUCGCUCAUAGAUCUGUAGAUAACUCUACACAGACUGAAUGGUGUACAAUGUUGCUUGAAGCAAGACGAGACGAGGACGGAAGAUAUUCUUUCUACUUGCCUCCUUUAAGUGUGGUGAAAUAUUAUGGUCUGUAGCU